GACGAACGCUGGCGGCGUGCCUAAUACAUGCAAGUAGAACGCACAGUUUAUACCGUAGCUUGCUACACCAUAGACUGUGAGUUGCGAACGGGUGAGUAACGCGUAGGUAACCUGCCUGGUAGCGGGGGAUAACUAUUGGAACGAUAGCUAAUACCGCAUAAUAUUGAUUAUUGCAUGAUAAUUGAUUGAAAGAUGCUAUUGCAUCACUACCAGAUGGACCUGCGUUGUAUUAGCUAGUAGGUGAGGUAACGGCUCACCUAGGCGACGAUACAUAGCCGACCUGAGAGGGUGAUCGGCCACACUGGGACUGAGACACGGCCCAGACUCCUACGGGAGGCAGCAGUAGGGAAUCUUCGGCAAUGGACGAAAGUCUGACCGAGCAACGCCGCGUGAGUGAAGAAGGUUUUCGGAUCGUAAAGCUCUGUUGUAAGAGAAGAACGGGUGUGAGAGUGGAAAGUUCACACUGUGACGGUAUCUUACCAGAAAGGGACGGCUAACUACGUG
rnacentral:rRNA from 1 species